rnacentral:rRNA from 1 species
UACGAAGGGGGCUAGCGUUGCUCGGAAUUACUGGGCGUAAAGCGCACGUAGGCGGCUUUUUAAGUCGGAGGUGAAAUCCUGGAGCUCAACUCCAGAACUGCCUUCGAUACUGAAGAGCUCGAGUCCGGGAGAGGUGAGUGGAACUGCGAAGUGUAGAGGUGAAAUUCGUAGAUAUUCGCAAGAACACCAGUGGCGAAGGCGGCUCACUGGCCCGGUACUGACGCUGAGGUGCGAAAGCGUGGGGAGCAAACAGG